GAAAACCCUCGCUCCCAAAAUUGAUUCCCUUGAAAUCGAUAGCUGCAAAUUCGGUGAGAGAGAAAGCGAAGCGCUUCAUCCCCUCCAACAACGCAACUGCAAAAAUCGAAGAGAGAGAAAGCCAAGUCCCUCCAGAAACGCGAUUGCUGCAAAUUCGAAGCUAGAGAGAAGAGAAAGCGAAGCCCUAGAAUCCUAUUCGGCCCUUCUCUCCGCCCUCGCCUUCGCCCGUCCAGUUCGUCCCGGCGUCCAGCUCAAAUCGCAUAGCAGGUCUGCCAUCGUUUGAACAUUACCUUUCAAAAAUUCUUAUAUAAAAGUUGAGGAACUGUGCAUAACUAACCUAAGAUUGUGUUAGUUAUUUGGGAAUUUCUUGUUUACUAAUUUCUUGGUUGUUAUUAUUGAAGUAUUCAUUGAGAUUUGGGAAACUAUGUGCCUCGCAAAGCAAUAAUUCGUAACAUUAUGCUCAAAUCGUUCCUCUGCUCUUCUCAUCUUUGUUGUAUGGUAAAAGGAUAUAAUAAUAACUGGAGACUAUGUAAUGUUGAUAAUGAAUUUUUUUAGGAAAAAAAUUUAGGUACCACUUUUUGACAAUCAGUUAUGUGAUAUCACUUUCUUAACAGACUCCCACUUCGAUUUCAAGGCAAGUGAUAAGAGUAAGUAAUUGAGAGAUAUGAAGCUUGUUCUGAGUCCUUUAUAUGAAGCUUGAUGACUGUGUUAAAUUUAUACUGAUGGAUACCAAGUGAUAGUUAAUGAAGAAACUUUAGCCUUACGCAUACAUAUUUUUCCAACCUCCAUAAUUGUGGAUAAUUUUGCCUAUAAUUUUAAAAAUAAAUAAAUUAUGCAUACAUAUUUAGCCAAGGUCGGGAUGGUAGUUUUUUGCCACUGGCUGAUUUUCUUACACGGUUUUCUCAUGGUGAAAAGUUAACUAUUGGUCUCGGUUAUAUCUUCAGCUCUUUUAGCUCUUUCCUUUGUCAUCCCAGUAUAUCCAUUAAUUUGACUUGACUUUCAAGAUGGCAAGUGAAGUCUUAUUUCCAGAACUAGUUGUAUCCUUUGUCAUCCCAAUAUAUCUUCAGAACUAGUUGUGCUCUGUGAUAUGUUUCUGCAUUAGUGUUAAUUGUUUUAUCAUACUGAAUAUGAAAACCAACUUGGUUCUCUAAGCAAACAAUCACAAAAUUGAGUUCCUUUAUUCUCAGAUGCAUAUGGUCCAUUGAACUCGUUCAACUUGGUGAUUUCAAACUGGAGUAUGAGUUUUAAGUUUAUUUGUUGUGCCUUGUAGAAUUGGAGAAUCAAAUGUUGGUGCUACUCAGGAUCUACGUGUAGAUGAUGAAUGUGAUUCACCCACAUGUUGAACUGAGAUUUCUAUAA
rnacentral:lncRNA from 1 species